AAAAAUAAAAAUAGCAAGUUUCUGAUCGACUAGCUCAUGACACAUUUCCUUGGAAACCCACUUUUACUAUAUUCACAAAUGGUAGCUUGUGCAAGCACAGAAUUCUCUCCUGCAUCAUGUGCUGCCUGCCUGGAAAGGGCAAGUUUUCUACUGCUUACUAAAACAAUCCCAUAGGAUGCUGUGUAGGCCUCAUGUCUUCAAUGUACUGGAGUUUCCUACUAGUCAAAGCAUACUACCACUUCAGUAAAAUAAAGACUGAUUUAAACAUUAGUAUAUUAGCCAUCAGACAUAUCAAGAGUUCUACUCAAAGAGAGGCUUAAGCAGGCUCGUCAGUGGCCACAGGUUCACUGCACUCAGGCAUUCUACACGUGCACUAGCAUGAGAACAGCAAAAAGCUAGCAGGUCAUACGUAAGAAGUUAACAUCAACAGCAGAUGAUUUCUUGGGAACAAUAAUUUUCUUUGCUUUUGUGUAAUUUCCUGAGACAACUGAAAAUACAACUACACUGCUACACCAGCAUUACUACCAUUAGAGCACUGCUGAAAUGACCAUCUCAUUACACACAGUAAUGAAACUGUAUUUUAUUAUAAGCAAAAACAGCUUUUAUAUCACCAAGAAACCAGGACCUAUACACUUUUUAAAGAGCUACCCACGUAGAAACUGCUGUACUAGAAAUCAACUCCUACUUCCAAUUAAGAGAAAAAAGCAUGGAGUGUUAUGAAAAGAAACAAAACCAAAAGUAAUCAGAAAAAAGAAGACCUAAUUAUGUAAAAUCUGCCAAUAUCGUGGUCCUUCUAGACAAUAGUCACUAGCUCCAAUUCACAGUAUUCCCAAAUAAAACUGACUGCUUGUUUAAACUUUCUUCAUAUUUUCUGCUUACCAAAUUCCAGACAUGCAGUUUGGCAAAGACAGUCUACUAGUCCAUACUGUGCUCUUCAGAACCAUUUUAGCAUUUCUUUCUUC